AAACAGCAGCAGCAGCAGAAACAGCAGCAGAAACAGCAGCAGCACCUGAGGAAACACCAGCAGCAGCGGCAGACAGCACCGCUGAGACGGCAGCAAGCUCCUCAGAGGCUGCAGCUCCAGAGCAAGAUAAAGGAGAGGCCACAGCAGCUGAUUCAGAGCCCAACACAGAGGAAGCACCAGCUCCCAGCGAGUGACGUGCAACGCGAGUGGCUGCGCAGAUGAGUUUUGUGUCUCACCUUGUCUGUAUGCGUGAGUGAAAGUACGUCUGGGUGUGAAAGACAUCGCCUCGUUGCCAAGAUGCCGACCCCGUGACAACCGCUUUCAGUCGGGGUCCUCAGUCACCACUGUGCCUUUUUCCCCCCUCCCCUCCUCUCUUUCUUGAUGGUUUCUACUGUACAUAGACAGAGUUCUACAGCACUUAGCGGGUGUGUUUAUUUUCAGAGGAUUAUCUAGAGAAAGUUCUAUUUAUUAUCUGUAUUGAAAUUUAUACGACCUUUACUACACACUAUGUCUGCUAAUCUAAGAGUCCAUUCAGAACUUUUCUACAAAACCACAACUCUUGAAAAACAAACAAAGCCAAAGUAUAUUUGACUGAUAAAAUUAUAUUAUUUUUUUGGGGUAGCUGGCUUUGAUUUUAUGACCAUAUUUGUAAUGAAGCUGCUCCAAUGUACAGCUGAUUUGGAAAAUGAAUUUCUGAUGAGCAUGUAAGAGAUAAGCGUAAACCUGAGGGCUUUUUUGUUGUUUGUUUUUUUGUUUCCGAGGUGUCAUGAUUUCUCUCUGGGAAGAAAACCUGUAAAACUGUCAAAAAAUUAAAAAGGUCACCUUAACAAUAA